UACCGAUAGAGGAGCAGAAACACUGCCACGAGGAUUAGAGUCGUCGCGAACGGGUCCAUGCUGAUUUCGAAUAGAGUAAACACCUAGUUUACUAAGUUUAUCGAGGAUUCCCAGGAAUUAAUAGAGAAUUAGCGAUAAAAAGCACACUUGUUGAUGCGCCGAGAUACAUUAUGCGACUAACUUUGCGCUGGCAGACAUGGAAGGAAGGAGUGGUGAUCACAUGACUCAUGAGUCAUUCGUGGAUUUAAUAAGAGUGGAACAUAGCAGCCUACAUGCAACGAGAAUAACAAUGUUACACAGAACUUAAAAUGUUGUCUAGCAGGCGCUGCAUUGCGUGGAUCGACGCGCGAAUCUUGAUUGGACAUACGGUGUUAAGAAAGUGAAAAGAAGAUCAACAUAUGAAAUAAUAAACAAAUGCUUUCAGUAAUGUGCUUGACCUCUUGAUUAGUAUAUUGCUGAACAUGUGAAAUUAAAAUUAACGAAAUAAACAACUGGUCGUUAAUGAGAUCAUCUACUUAA